GGGAGUCCCGGGGCCAGGCGCUGCCGGAGGAAGAGGCCGAUGGAGGACGAGGAGGAAGGAAGGAGCGCCGGGCGGAGGCGGAGGAGGAAAGGGCAGGAGCUCAGCAACCCCUUCGAACUGAUAACCAAUGAAGAAAUAGAGGAUGAUCUCACAUCCAAAGAGGAGAAAGAUGAUUCCAGGCUGAAGGAGGAAAGUGACCGAAAGAACGAAGAGAGUCUGGAAAAUGACCAGCAAAAAGGAGGAGCAGAGACCAAACAACUGGACCAAACGACAAGGAUUCUUUCUCCCACCUUGGACAUCAUUCCACAGAAGAUGCCUCCAGUCAAUAGAGGCCAGGCUACCUCUAUGCGGAUUCUCUCACUGAUUGACUUUGCAGCUUCGUUGCUACUCCGUGCUAUUCAAGCUGGCUAAUUGCAACAUUCACUCUUGCUUCACACAGACAAGGAUUCUUUGUCCCACCCUGGACAUCGUUUCACAGGAGAUGCCUCCAGGCAACAGAGGCCAGGCUACCUCACUGAUUGACUUUGCAGCUUCGUUGCUACUCCGUGUUAUUCAAGCUUGCCAAUUGCAACAUCCACCCUUGCUUCACACAGACAAAAGUUAUUUCUCCCACCCUGGACAUCGUUUCACAGAGGAUGCCUCCAGGCAAUAGAGGCCAGGCUACCUCGCUGAUUGACUUUGCAGCUUUAUGGCUACUCAGUGUUAUUCAACCUUGCCAAUUGUAACAUCCACACUUGCUUCACACACACAAGGGUCCUUUCUCCCAUCCUGAACAUUAUUCCACAGGGAAUAUCUACACUCCACUCUGAAGAUGCCAUUAGCCACAGGUGCAGGUGAAACGUCUCUCUCUCUCUGUACGGGAUGCAUGCCGGCCAACUGUCGCCGGCGCAGGAUGGGGUCUUUGAUGCAGAGAUAGACAUUGGGGUUCGGAUUCCCACGGGGAUUUUUUCUUUCUUCUUUUUUCUCCAUCUUGGACAUUGCGGUUCGGAUCACAACGUCUUUGGAGAUGAGAUAGCAACUGUGAGGUCUGGUGUGUUGUGUUCCAGAAGCAUUCUCUCCUGAUGUUUUGCCCACAUCUAUGGCAGGCAUCCGCAGAGGUUGUGAGGCCUGUUGGAAACGAGGCAAGAGGGGUUUGUAUAGAUCUCUAUGGAAUGAUGUCCAGGGCGGGAGAGAGAAAGAACUCUGUCUGUUGGAAGUACGUGUGAAUGUUGCAAUUAAUCACCUUGAUUAGCAUUGAACACAACCUACAAACUGUCUCCAGACCAACUAAGGAAGCCCAACAGUUGCUCCGUUCAGCAAAGGGCCGGAAAAGGGAUCCUCUCUCCUCUGCAGAAGUCUACCAUAAUGCCAUGCAGCUGCGGACAAGUCUACAGACAAGUCUAUAGUAUAAUAAUAAUAAUAAUAAUAAUAAUAAUAAUAAUAAUAAUAAUAAUAAUAUGCCUCAAGUACCACCUCCCAGCAGUAAAGAACUGGUGGGAUCACAAACCUGCAAAAGUAUUGGAAAAUGAGCAUGCAAAGAUACUGUGGGACUUCCAAAUCCAGACUGACAAAGUUCUGGAACACAACACACCAGACCUCACAGUUGUGUAAGAGAAAAAGGUUUGGAUCAUUGAUGUCGCCAUCCCAGGUGACAGUCGCAUUGACGAAAAACAACAGGAAAAACUCAGCCGCUAUCAGGAUCUCAAGACUGAACUUCAAAUACUCUGGCAGAAACCAGUGCAGGUGGUCCCGGUGGUGAUCGGUACACUGGGUGUCGUGCCAAAAGAUCUCAGCCGGCAUUUGGAAACAAUAGACAUUGACAAAAUUACGAUCUGCCAACUGCAAAAGGCCACCCUGCUGGGAUCUGCACGCAUCAUCCGAAAAUACAUCACACAGUCCUAGACACUUGGGAAGUGUUCGACUUGUGAUUUUGUGAUACGAAAUCCAGCAUGUCUAUCUUGUUUGCUAUGUCAUAAUAAUAAUAAUAAUAAUAAUAAUAAUAAUAAUAAUAAUAAUACAUCACACAGUCCUAGAUACUUGGGAAGUGUUCGACUUGUGAUUCUGUGAUAUGAAAUCCACCAUAUCUGUUUGCUGUGUCAUAAUAAAAUAAUAAUAAUAAUAAUAAUAAUCCUGUAAUAAUACUGUAUUCACAUAAUGAUUUUGUGAAAUGAAAUCCAGCAUAUCUAUCUUGUUUGCUGUGUCAUAUAAUAAUAAUAAUAAUAAUAAUAAUAAUAAUAAUGUUCAGGGUGUCGACGCACCCUUUGAGCAGCUUGGCUUUGGGGGAUGGAGGCCAAUGCCUGCAAAAUACCUUCAAGUAAGUUUUUCACAUCCAAUUAAUUCUAUCGUAAGCUAUUUCUUAGGGCUGCCGGCCUGGAUAGCAAGCAAGCAAGCUGUUCCUGCCCAAGCUCAACUGGUUUUGCAUUGGGUUCCUUUACGGUUUCAAUAGUGCGGACGUAUCAAAAAACCCAUCUGAGCCAAAAUGGCCUCCCGAAUUCACGGCAAGUGAUCAACCCUAUAUACUCCAGCCAUUUCACAUCUGUGCAAUAAAAGUAUAAAUAUUUCGACCUAUGCAUGUUUCUAUCGUUCUGGAAAAGGUCCCACUUUGGUCCCUUUCCCCCAAAGACUAGACAGACCUUCCAAUAGGUUAGGAAAGUGCCCUUUGGGGACUAUAACUCCCCAAAUCUUUCACCAAUGCUCUGUAUUCAGGCCCCAAAGGAAAUCCUACAGAAAAUCCUAAAUCACUGGGUCCAGUGCAAGGCAACGAGGACUCCGUUCCCCUUUCUCCAACUUAGUCAUAGAAUUAGAAGGGCCCCCAAAGGUCAUCUAGCCCAGCUCAGGAUCUCCAAGCAUCCCCAAAUGUGUCGGACUACAGUUCCCAUCUCCUGAUAUUGACACUCUCAUCUCCGAGGGAUUAUUAUUAUUAUAUUCAUUUAUAUCCUGUCAUAGAAUCAUAGAAUAGUAGAGUUGAAAGAGACCUCAUGGGCCAUCUAGUCCAACCCCCCGCUUCUUAAGAUUGGCUCUGGAUCUCAUGGUGCCAGGGUGCAGUCUGUCCAGUGCCUUCCAAGUCACCCAGCCUUCUGUGUGCCCAGGAGUCACUCAUUUGGUAUGAGCCAUGGAUUGAGGUUCUGGGUAUUAACUUGCCACUUUUGGACUGUCACUAGCUGAGAUGUUCCUGUGAGUAUCUCUGUAGAUCUCAGAAAGCUGUUUCUUGAUUUAAGGUGUUGCCUUGCUGGCUGAUAUCAGAACAGAGGACUAGCCAGAGAUGUCAAUGCCUUGGUCCUUUCAUUAUUGGCUGCUACUUCCCGGCAGAUGUCAGGUGGUGCAAUACAGGCUAAACAGUAUAAUUUCUCCAGUGGUGUAGGGCGUAGACAUCCUGUUAUAAUGUGGCAUGACUCAUGAAAAGACACAUCCACUGAUUUAACAUGGUGAGAUGUAUUCCACACUGGGCAUGCGUAUUCAGCAGCAGAAUAGCAAAGCACAAGGCAGAUGUCUUCACUAGGAUAAUUCAAUCUGAAUUAUGGAGUCAAUCUGAGUGCACAUAACAAUUCAGGGAGGAGGGAGUGACUAGUUCUUAGAAUGCUACCCUCCCCCCAAACAGUCCUUGAGGCCUUAAAAAGAGACAUAUCCUUAAUUUUUAGAAUGCUGUGGUAACAGAAGAAGAAUGGAACCAUUCUAAGGCAGAACGAUACUUUGAAUUUGUUUUGAAAUAUCUUAUGGACAUAAUGGAAUGAUCGCAGAGUUAUCACUGAAACAGCUUCUUUGCUUAAUUUUCCUAACUUGCCAUAUCCUGUGUAAACUAACGGAGGAUGACGUCUGGAUCAAAAGGAGGCUAUUUUCAGGGAAUCUUUCAAAAUUAAAAAUGGUUCUUGACUAUUAGGACAUUUUUCCAUCUCGAGUCAAAUGAGAUCUAGGUAUCUCAAGGUUCAAGUUUAUUCAUCACUAGCCAACCAGGCUCUUGCAUGCAACCACAGAAACAAACCAAUAUCAUACCCAGACAUAAAUGAAUCAAAAUAGUUGAACUGGCAACAAAAACAUACAAAAUAGAUCUGACAUAGUAUCUUGUCACGUUAAAAGGUUCUCUCUUUGUCAGGCCUAAAUUGACACACUUGGCCAUUCAAUAUCUAGCAGCUAAGACAGUAAGUUCAUUUCGUUAAUUUAUUCAAGGAGCAUGACUUCUAAAAAAGUCUAUUACUACAACAGUGAUUUAAUUUUACUCUGGCGCCCUCUGCUGAAGCAAAUAUUUAACAGUCUUUUUUAACUGGCCAUAAAUAGAAGAAAAAACUAUGGCAAACACAGACUAAAUUAGAUUAGAUUAUAUUAUCUUGAGAAUGUGGUUGCAUCUCAAGAUAAUAUAAUUUAUAUAUCAUAUCAUAAUUUUAGUUUAUAAAUUAAAUACGGGUUUUUAAAAUAAGGUAUCUCAAUAUCUCAACACAAAAUAUUAAUUACUUACGAAAUGCUUCUCAUUCAAACAUUUGAGGCAAAAAUAAACAUAAUACAAGAAAAAUCUAACAAAUAUACCUAUAACCAAAAAACAACUGCUAAUCCCAGAAUGCACCAAUUAAAACAAUGGGAUCUUUAUAAGACAAGUCUACUUUAGCAAACUAGUCAUAGGUUUUAGGCCAGAGCUUUCUAACCUUCAGGUCAGCAGUUUAGCUGGCACAAGGGUUUAACCCAUUGCACCACGUGGCUCCUAACCAAAGGUUAAAACAACCCCUUAUAAAAGAUACAGAUGCGUACGUAAAUUGUAAUAACAAAAUGGAUGGGGACACAACAAUAGCAUGAAAACCUUUUAUAUAUUUAUAUAUAUGAUUUGUAAUAAAAUAACAUACAUUUUCAAGAUUUUAGUUGUUUUGCACAUCACACCCACCAACACACAGCCGCUGACACACUGUUGUGUUGCAACAUACCAUUUGGAAAACUGUUUUAGGACUGUAAACCCAGUUAUGGAAUGCCCAUCUGCUCUGAAAAAUUGCCAUUAUUAAGUUUUGUGAUUAAUUCUAAUUCCUUGGGGAUCAUUUUUCUAUUCAAAUCCAGUUUAUUAUUGUUAAGCUGAAAUACUUCCAUUCAUCUAGUGGCACUAUGCCAGUCCCCUUGUCAAAACGCUUUUACAAGCUGUUAUUACUCACAAUAAGCCAAUAAAUCAUUCACAUAUUGCUGUAAACAAAAAUGAAAGCAAACACACAAAUUAUAUCAUUACUUUUCAAGUCCUGCGUUUAUGUAACAGAUAAAGGAUUUAAAUACAUUUCAAGUUGCACAGAGUUUUUUGGAUACUGUAGAAUAUCAACAGAGUAAAAGACAGUAACAGAUUACGUUGUAGAGCUGGGAAAUAUCCUUUUUAGACUACAAUUCCUGCAGUCCCUCUGGAGGUUCCUGGAACUUGUUGUUGCUGUUUUGUGCCUGUAAGUCAUUUCUAACUUAUGGCAACCCUAAGACAGGGUUGUUUUAGCUAGAUUUGUUCAGAAAGGGUUUACCUUUGUUUUCCUCUGAGGCUGUGAUUUGCUUUAGAUCACUCUGUGGGUUUCCAUGGCUGAAAGGGGAUUUGAAGCACUGGUCUCCAGAGUCACAGUUCAAUACAAAAACCACCACUCCACAGUGGAGAGAGGAAAUAAAUAAAACCAGCCAUGUGUAACAGGAGUUCUACUUCCACAAUUCUUCUCUCCUUCUCCCAGUCUGCUACCGAGCACAAUUCAAAGUGCUGGCUUUAGCCUAUAAAGACCUAAACGGUUUCGGUACCUAUCUGAAUGCAUCUCCCUCUAUGAACCAUCACGGAGGUUAAGAUCUUUUGGGGAGGCCUGCUCUCAGUCCCACUGCCUUCACAAGUACAACUGGUGGGGACGAGAGACAGGGCCUGCUCAGUGGUGGCCCCUCGGCUUUGGAACUCCCUCCCCAGUGACAUUAAAUCAGUGCCCUCCCUCUUGGCCUUCAAAAAGAAAGCAAAGACAUAGCUGUGGGACCAAGCCUUUGGUCAGUAAAGUGAUGCAGUGCAAGAAAUGAAGAGGGAAUAUUCGCAACUGACAAGUGGAAUAGCUUUGGUUUACGAUUUUGGAUUAUGUGAUUCUAAUGUUUAUACUAAGUUUUAAUUCUAUGUCUUAAUGUCUACAUAUUUGCUUAUGUCUCAUGCUUUAAUAUGGUUAAUAGUUUUUAAUUUCAUAGAGAUAUGUUAUAGUUUAGAUAUUGUGCUUUGGUUUUCACGUGUAUGUUUGGCAUUAUUAUGUUGGAAACCGCUUUGAGUCCCCACUGGGGUGAGAAAAGUGGUAUAGAAAUGCAAUGAAUCAAUAAAUAAAAUACACACUUA